rnacentral:rRNA from 1 species
AACGAACGCUGGCGGCAGGCUUAACACAUGCCAGUCGAACGCCCCGCAAGGGGAGUGGCCGACGGGUGAGUACCGCGUGGGGACAUACCCUUUCCUGCGGAAUAGCUCCGGGAAACUGGAAUUAAUACCGCAUACGCCCUACGGGGGAAAGAUUUAUCGGGGAAGGAUUGGCCCGCGUUGGAUUAGCUAGUUGGUGGGGUAAAGGCCUACCAAGGCGACGAUCCAUAGCUGGUCUGAGAGGAUGAUCAGCCACAUUGGGACUGAGACACGGCCCAAACUCCUACGGGAGGCAGCAGUGGGGAAUAUUGGACAAUGGGCGCAAGCCUGAUCCAGCCAUGCCGCGUGAGUGAUGAAGGCCUUAGGGUUGUAAAGCUCUUUCACCGAUGAAGAUAAUGACGGUAGUCGGAGAAGAAGCCCCGGCUAACUUCGUG